GAUGAACGCUGGCGGCGUGCCUAAUACAUGCAAGUCGAGCGAACAGAUGAGGAGCUUGCUCCUCUGACGUUAGCGGCGGACGGGUGAGUAACACGUGGAUAACGUACCUAUAAGACUGGGAUAACUUCGGGAAACCGGAGCUAAUACCGGAUAAUAUAUUGAACCGCAUGGUUCAAUAGUGAAAGACGGUUUUGCUGUCACUUAUAGAUGGAUCCGCGCCGCAUUAGCUAGUUGGUAAGGUAACGGCUUACCAAGGCAACGAUGCGUAGCCGACCUGAGAGGGUGAUCGGCCACACUGGAACUGAGACACGGUCCAGACUCCUACGGGAGGCAGCAGUAGGGAAUCUUCCGCAAUGGGCGAAAGCCUGACGGAGCAACGCCGCGUGAGUGAUGAAGGUCUUCGGAUCGUAAAACUCUGUUAUUAGGGAAGAACAAAUGUGUAAGUAACUAUGCACGUCUUGACGGUACCUAAUCAGAAAGCCACGGCUAACUACGUG
rnacentral:rRNA from 1 species